GAACUUAGCAGGUAGAAAAGGAAAGAAGUGAAAAUUUUGGUCUGAAAUGGUGAGGUUUUUGGUUUCCUGAUGGUUUUAAAUUUUGGCCAAUAGUUACUAUAUCAGCUGAUGUCUAUUUAGUUUUAGCAUAUCAAGAAUCAACAUUGCAGGACAAUAAAUUUUGGACUCGAACCAUAUUGGUUUUUCUCCUAUUUUGGGAAAAUACUUAUCUAUCCAAUAUACUUAUGUGACCAAUAAAUAACAGUUGAAAUGGCUUUUACGUUAAUUUUGGGAAGAAGGGAGAGGGGAGAGAGAAGCAGGCAUGCUUGGGACUAUGCUUGGCUGAUUGGGCACUCUUUUCUUUUUUUCUUUUUUAAUUUAUUUU
rnacentral:misc_RNA from 1 species